rnacentral:lncRNA from 1 species
CCGCACUCAUACAGUCGCGCCCCACACCCUUACCGACUUCGCAUCUUUCCGCUCUAGAUCAUGUUCGUGCCACUAUUCCCAUUUCCGACCACCUAUUCAGCACUGUCCUUAGUUAUGGCCAUGCAACAGCUCCGCAUGACAAGCAUGGAUAAAAUAGAGACAUCGCCCUAUUUGAUGGGGGCCUGGAUUCUUUGGGACUAUCAUGGUAUCAUGC